CUAACUUUGCACUUACCACCAUUCUCCUCUCUGCAUCUGUUUACAUCCGCCGCAGUACUGUUAUCACGAAAACAGUCGUAAUACAUUUUAAAGCUUUACGGUGGAAGAACUGAGGGAAGGGGAGUCUGGAUGAGUGAUCGGCGGCAGCCCUCAUGUCCGUCACCGAGGCUCUGUGGGGAGGAGCACCGCUACCACAGCCCAGACUUCGGUAUGUCCUCGUCAGCAAGCUGGCUCCCCGGUGUAACUCCACAGCCAGGGGCAUGCUGAACACAGGAUGGCCUCAAAGCCAGGGGCCAGCGUUAGUACCACCAUCGUACAAAUGAAGACAGUGAAGCUCAGAGAGAUGAGCGAGCCCAAGGACACACAGCGAGUUCACCGCGGAGAGAUUUCCACCCCGAUGCCAGACAGUCGAGAAUAUGCUUCUACCUCCUGCCCUCUGGGGCCUGUCAACCCCCAUCCCAGCUUCCAAGGCCCCGGGCACCCUCCUCUGAAACUCUGAGGAUGUCAAGGCCCAUCGUGGGCUGUGUGCCCGCAGGUUCUGGGGAGACGUGAACUGCAGCAAGAUCAUGACAGAGAGACCCCAACACCACCACCAAGCAUGCCACCCGAGCAGUGUCUACCCUGAGCUCCCAGCCCACUUGCUCCUGGGGGAUAUUGUUGCAUCUUACUUGGGUGUGCAGGAGUCAGGAGCUGUACUAUACGGUUUCCUGGGGCGUUUCUUAAGGGCAGAAGACCCAUUUUACAGAUGAGGAAACUGAGGCCAGGAAGAUAACAGACUUAGCUCGGGGUCACACCAGUCAGCAACACUGGGGCCGGAGCCUGGGUGCCUGGCUCCUCGCCCACUGUUCCUUCAGGACACCAGACAACCAGCCAGGUGGGUCUGAGCCCCCCUUCUCUUGGUCCAGCCCCUCCAGGACUCCAAAGGCCUGACUGCUUCCGGUUUCACCCCCAGGGCUUGCGCUCACCUCUCUCCACAAAGGGAAUAACCCCGGGAAAGACUGUCCAGGGCUGGGGCUAAGGCAGAUUCUGGGGAUCCAGCUCUUUUGGACUCUCAGAUCCCCCCUUGAGUGAGGGCAGGGGUGCCUGCUCCCACCUCAACAGCCUCAAAGAAAGGGCUCCCUCCCUCACCAUCCCUGUUCCCAUCACUCAAAAAUAAAAGGAAAAAAACCCUCCAAUUGGCAUCCAUUCAGAAAACAGUUCUAUUUUCUGCUCUUUUCCUGUUCAGAAUAAAC
ensembl:lncRNA